ACGCUCGACACCUACGGGAGGCAGCAAUCGGGAAUAUUGCGCAAUGGAGGAAACUCUGACGCAGUGACGCCGCGUAUAGGAAGAAGGUUUUCGGAUUGUAAACUAUUGUCGUUAGGGAAGAGAAAGGACAAUACCUAAGGAGGAAGCUCCGGCUAACUACGUGCCAACAGCCGCGGUAAUCUGAGCGGGCUGGCAAGGC
rnacentral:rRNA from 1 species